GAUGAACGCUGGCGGCGUGCUUAACACAUGCAAGUCGAACGGAAAGGCUCCUGCUUGCAGGGGCACUCGAGUGGCGAACGGGUGAGUAACACGUGGGUGAUCUGCCCUGCACUUCGGGAUAAGCCUGGGAAACUGGGUCUAAUACCGGAUAGGACCAUCGUUUAGUGUCGGUGGUGGAAAGUUUUUUCGGUGUGGGAUGAGCUCGCGGCCUAUCAGCUUGUUGGUGGGGUAAUGGCCUACCAAGGCGUCGACGGGUAGCCGGCCUGAGAGGGUGUACGGCCACAGUGGGACUGAGAUACGGCCCAGACUCCUACGGGGGGCAGCAGUGGGGAAUAUUGCACAAUGGGCGCAAGCCUGAUGCAGCGACGCCGCGUGGGGGAUGACGGCCUUCGGGUUGUAAACUCCUUUCGCCAGGGACGAAGCGAAAGUGACGGUACCUGGAUAAGAAGCACCGGCAAACUACGU
rnacentral:rRNA from 1 species